rnacentral:rRNA from 1 species
AGUGAACGCUGGCGGUAGGCCUAACACAUGCAAGUCGAACGGCAGCACAGUAAGAGCUUGCUCUUACGGGUGGCGAGUGGCGGACGGGUGAGGAAUACAUCGGAAUCUACUUUUUCGUGGGGGAUAACGUAGGGAAACUUACGCUAAUACCGCAUACGACCUACGGGUGAAAGCAGGGGAUCUUCGGACCUUGCGCGAUUGAAUGAGCCGAUGUCGGAUUAGCUAGUUGGCGGGGUAAAGGCCCACCAAGGCGACGAUCCGUAGCUGGUCUGAGAGGAUGAUCCGCCACACUGGAACUGGACACCGGUCCCAACUCCUAGGGGGGGCAGCGGGGGGAAAUUUUGGACAGUGGGCGAAGGCCUGAUCCCGCCAACCCGGGGGGGUAAAAAAGGCCUUGGGGUUGUAAAGCCCUUUUGUGGGGAAAAAAAAGCAGCAGGUUAAAACCCCGCUGUUCUGACGGUACCCAAAAAAUAAGCACCGGCAAACUUCGU